UGUUCCUGUUUGGGGAAAACCGAACGGAGAAAACUGAAAAAGGAGCUCAUACCGUCACGUGAUUUGGGUCGCGUUGACAUCGUUACGUUCUCUUGAAUUUUCAAAAGGAAAUCUUUGUCGAUAACAAGCCGAACUUUUUGGAUACAUACAAGUACCAGACCAACAAGUGAGACCUAAAUUUCGAAUAAGGGUUUCUCAAGAGAGUUUCCUAUAUUUCCAUAGAUUUUAGUAUUGUCAAGUAGGAUGUAGCAUUUUUGCCAGCGGACGUUCUCUGUGACGAUCCAGACGAAGUUUGAGAGACACACCGAGCAUGAAUGCAUAGCAUAACCAACUGCCUCUCGCACUACAAGAUUUCAGGCGAGCUUCCAACUGUGCGCAAUUCAAACUUAAUAACCUGACAAGUAAGUCGAAGUGCAUUCAGCCCAAAGCUGAUUUCGACGAUCCGCAAAAAACAACCGGAGCUAUUUCUAUGACAGUUCAAAGACGUAACUCUUAAUAAAUGUCUCGUUUCGCUUGGCAAAUCAGAAAUGCCAUGACGCAGUUCUUGAAUCUGAAUUGUUAUAAGGCCCCAUUAGGAAACCUGAAGCUCUCGUUAAUCGUUGGUCACCAAAUCAAGUGGAUAUUGCUGCUAAAUCUCCUGCUUCGCGUAUAUCACGCCGUAAGUGACGAGUCACUGUAUCUGGAUAACUUAUCGACAGCUGAAAGUUUGGGUCCAGAAUCCUGGUAGCGUUUAUCCUAUCGAAGAUUUGUGUUGAUAAAUUCCGGUGCUGUUGGUCUACCGACAGUCUUCAUUUGAUCAACAGUCACGUACGCGGCAAAGAAGAUAGCCGUCUAACAGUCGACUUCUCUCGACAUAAAAGUCACAAUGGAUGGGACGGAAGGAUGGUCAGUUCAAGCCUGAGUUUGCCACCCAAAAGUCACGUGACAUCUUAGUGCAAGCAGCCCAACCAUAACGCAACUGGUAUCAAACAAAUUGCAAAGAAGACCGAGGGGGUCUGGCACUAACCUCGUCGUGCGCAUGAUCAGAAUCGUCGGCAGCAAAACCGACUCCUCUUCUGCUGGAGGGAGGGGUGGUGUCCUUCGGCUUGUCUUCGGCUUCCUUCGGUUUCUCGUCGUUUAACGGUGUAUUUUCGAAGCCGAGUCUUUUGGGUCUGAAUUGUUCCGUGUCUGAUUGGCUUUCCUCGUCCUAAAAUAGACAAGAGGAAUGUCAAGGAAAAGAUCAAGCAAGUUUUCGUUAUAAUAGGGGGGACAGUUUGUCGGAGUGGCUUUCAUCCCCCUUCCAAAAAAAAGGCACAAAAAAACCUGCACGAGUAUGGUUUAAUCCUAGCUCAAAAUUACAUUAUAAUGCAUGGAUAACUUUUUUUUUUAAUAAACAGAGUUUCUAAUACUCAAAAUAAACCGUUAAAGCACUAAGGGACUUUAACUAAUUAACGGCCAAACUAAUCUUUCUCAAAAUGGUCGAAAGAAAGUCUUACGGUAAGUGAUCGGCUUCUCUUUGGAAACCCGUCGGCAUGCGUCUUGUGAAUGACCAUCCUCGGGUGUUUUGCCUUCAGGUCUUUGAAGCGGGGGGUGUCGUGUCGCUGGAAAUUGGAGGUCUGGAAAGCAGAGAGAGGGAAAUAAUAACAAAUUAAGUUUCAAAUAUUUUAGACGUAUUGAUGAUGAUGAUAAUGAUGAUGACGAUGCUGAUGAUGACGAUAAUGAUGCCAGGCAGUGAUGACGACGAUAACAAUGAAGGAAAAUAACAACGAUGAUGAUGAUACGGAAGAUUUGGAUCAUAGUAACCUCGGUUGUGAUAACGGUGUCGGUUCAUGUAGACAACUAGAUGACUUCAGUGGUAUAGUGAGAAGGGAAGAGAUUCGGCAGUCAUUCGCCAGACAUUCGCGAGUACUUACCUCUCUAUCGUGAUUGAGCGCGAUCUCGUCUGGGAAAUGUAUCCCGCCAGCCUUUGGGGGCAGUUCCUCGUCGUCGUACUCAAAGCCUUCCAUCAUUAAGUUAUCCACAGCAAACCCGUGACUCAAGUCGUUCGUCAGCAUUUCUGUAAAAGGACAAAUCAACAAUGUUCCGAUAAUGUUCCGACGUGUUUAUACAUUCACAUGGAAAUCGACUAUCAUCAUCCCAAAAGCUCAAAGGUCCAAAAACGUUUAAUUUUUUUAAAGAAAGAUAGCCAAUAAGAAUCAUGAUGCUCUGAAGCAAAUAUUGAAAUUUUGGAAUAGAAUAAGCCAGUUCAGAGUUUAAGAAAAGACGCGGGGAGACUGGGUCAUCUGAAUCAUCGAAUCGGGCCAAAUGAGCGAUUUUGCAGAAAAGUUUGUAUGGCGGUCUUGGAGAAAAACCCUUCCUACAAAGCCGUUUUACAAGAUAUGGGAAAACCAACCACAUUCAUGCGGUGCACACUUAUUGUUUUACCUUUGGACCGCGUUUUGUUAUGAAUACGGCCCGAUAAAUAUUUUUCAGAUAGAUUUACUUCGCUUAGUGAUCUAAUUUGGCCGACUUCCGCUCGCAAAACACCGAUGAAAACACGCAACAACAAUAAACUUUGGUACCUCAGGUAAAAACAAAAUGAUUUUCGUCCACGAAAUUCAAGUACUAAUUUUGCUAAAGAACUAAGAACAAAAUUAAUUUGAAUUUUACGGCAUAAAUAUUGAAACGGAACUUCUACCCAUGCAUUUUAUACCCCGAUUCGGAUUUCGCCGAUAAACUUUUACGGUAUUUGAGUGAAGAAAUGACUCCGAGUACUCAGAAAAUCGCUCCGUAGAAAUACCUUUUGCGCCUAAUUCAUCCCUAAUUGCCCCCUAUACAAAGUACAAUAAAGUCAUCACGUGUAGAAAUGAAUGAUUUCACCAUAUCUUUUAAAGCGGUUUUGUAGAAAGGAUUUUUCUCCAAGACCGCAAUACAAACUCUCUUGUGAAAUCGCUCUUUUGGUGCGAAAGAACCCAGUCCCUCACGGCAUUCUGAACUGGCUGUAAGUUGGAUAGAUUGAGUGUCAGUGAUUCAAGAUGAUUCAUGUCUCUACUCCAGGAUGAAUAUCUUUUCUACCCAACACCCAACGCGCGCUCGCAUUCUCAGUUUGAGCAUUACCCAAAAGCCUUUGUGCGCUUGCUCGCCCCAGUCCCUGUCUUACCCAGGCUUCCCAUGCCUUGUUGUGGGAGCAGGAAACAUGUCAACACUUUGCUAUUCGUUUUCUCGUCUUCCUCUGUUUGUAGCUUUAGCACAGGUUGCGACUGGUAAACAAAAUGCGUGACAUUCAGACAACAGUUGAGGCCAUGAUACAUGAGGCAAUGUUUUACUGCAAAUUGCAAAGCAACGAGGACGAAAUUCCAGGUUUGCAGAGAUGAGCGUUUUGAAAUGCGCCCGCAUUAAAAUUAUAAUUAAAGCGAUCGCUACCUUGAGUAAAUAAGAGAAGGAGUGCGCUAAUUGGCUAAUUCUCUAAAAUGGUUUUGCAGGUUGCAUUACGAGUUGCAGAAACAUGAUACACAGGGUGAAUUUUCAGCAAUGUUGCGAAAAGUAGAAAGCAAUUUUAUAUUUUUACAACUUGCAAAGCACACAGCGAAGCUUGAAUCAAGCGCAAGACAUACCAUGUUCUAUUGGAAAAUUAAGAAUUAUACAACAAAACAUAUCAGCGACGGAAGGGUCAAGAAACAGCACUACUAACAGCUAUCCAAAUAAAAAAAUUAAUGCCUUUUUCUCUUCCAAAAUUUUUCAGAUAAAAUCCGAGGCUCCAAAUCCAGUGGAAAAAAAAUCACUAUUUUCGCCUUCAAUAUUUGCACAACUAAAAGGUGACGCGAACAUUAUCGAUAAUGAAUCCCCUCUCUUUAAUCUUUAAAUGGUGUAAUUGCACUUAGCUCCCUCAAAACCUUUCUGUCACAGGGGACUGAUGUUACCAACAAAGUUUAACUGAUGAGAAUUUUUUUAAUGCCGUUGUUAACACGCCCUGCUUAUAUGGGAAGAUUAAUGUCAUCGAGUUUGGGGAUAAAAGAAAAAAAAAAGUUGAAGAUGGAACUAUAAAACGUUGUUAUGAUUUAUAACCAUAUGGUUAUGCCUAAACGGUGACAUAACAGAGAAAAGCGUGUUGACAAGUUACAUGCAACUAUUAGCAAAAAAAAAACGAUCCUGACCGAUGAGACAAGUCAAGAAGGCAUCCAUUUGUAGAUUUAUCAUCACAACUACACA